rnacentral:misc_RNA from 1 species
ACAUUAAAAUAGUGCAAGGUUUUUUAUUGAAUGAGUUUGACGUAUUUUUCCGAUAAAAGAAUUCGAUAUUAUAAAAUUUGAUUAAACCUUUUAUUGAAUUGUUUCUGAGCGAAAUGAUUAUUAUUUUUUAAUUCAAAUUUUUGAUAAAAAAAAAUUUAUAUUUAAUUGAAAUAUUGUGUUUGAUGUAUUAAUAGAAAAAUAUCAAUAAAAACAAUUCUCUAAAGUGAAAAAAUAUUUUUAUCAUUCAAAAAAUGAAAAAAAGAAGUAAAGAAAAUGUUCUUGAUAGUGAUGAGUGUAACGAAAUUGUGCAAAAAAAACUAGUUCAAGAUUGUAUGGAGGAUUAUUCGCUAAUCAGCUAUGAAAUAAUUCCAUUGGACAGUACUACAGGAUACAUGGGUGAAUAUUUUACUUUAAAAGCAAUUGUAGGUCGAAAGACAAAUCUUUCAGACAAAAAAACUCUUCAAUUUUUUGCUAAAUUACCUCCACUUACUGAUAGUCCACUUCAAAAUUUUAAUCUUGAACAAGGCUCAUUUAAAAAAGAAAUAGAUUUAUAUACUAAAGUAUUCCCUCAAUUGUUGACUGGUGAAAUGGACUUCAAUAUUCCUAGAUGUAUUCUUGGACUCGAUGAUAAUCUGAUAGUGCUAGAAGACAUGAGUACUCAGGGAUAUAAAAUGACUGACAAAUUUACACCUUUUGAUUUUGAUCAUUGUAAAAUUAUGAUGAGCACUCUAGCUAAAUUCCAUGCUAAGUCACUAAUAUUUGAAGAAGUUCAUAAAAAAAAUCUGAAUAAUGAAUUUUCUUACUGUCUGCAUGAGACCCUUUGGCCAACUCAAGACGGAUUAGCCAAAAAAACGUUUCAUGCUGCUGUGAAAGGAGUUAUUUCUAUGAUUGACUUAAUACCAGGUUUAAAGGGGUUGAAGAAAUCUCAAUUGAAAAAGAAGUUUAUAGAAUUAUCAACUCAUCAUGCGGAAAACUUGAAACCAUCAAAACACCAUCGAAAUGUUAUAUGUCAUGGUGAUUUGUGGGCAAAUAAUAUUCUUUUUCAGUAUGAUAAUCAAGAAAAGCCAAUUUCUUGCUGCUUGAUAGAUUUUCAACUUGCGAGAUAUAAUCCACCAGCUCACGAUGUCAUGUGUUUUUUAAAUUUUACCACAACAAGAGAAUUACGCAAAAACUGCAGCUUGGAACUUUACAAAAUUUAUUAUGAUCAACUGAUUCAGUCCUUAAAAAAUGCCAAAUUACAAAAUCUUGGCAUUAUUUCAUGGGAAGAUUUCAAUAUCUCUUUGAAAGAUCUUCGUCUUACACAUUUACUUCAUGGAAUUUUAAAUUUGAAUGUUAUGAUAUUACAUCCUAAAAUUUUGGGUGAAUAUUUUACGAAUCCUAAACUUUUAGAAGAAGCUCUCUACGUCGACAGAACACCUUUAAUUUGUGCACAAUUUCGAACCAUAAAAGAAUACAGAGAGAGAAUGAUUGAAAUAAUAUUUGAGUUACAUGAAGAAAUUCAAUUUACUCUGAAUGACUAAGUCAUUUUAACAGACAGAAACCAAAAAGACAUCUGUUUUGAGUGCAAGCAAAUUAAAAGUGAAAAAUGAUUCAGAUGUAUCAAAUGCGAAUAAAUUUCCGGAAGUUGGAGAAACCGUGCAACUACUGUGGUACGAUCAAUUACUCCAUGGAGCCAGGAUUCUGCGUUACCAUCUGUCGAAACAAUAUUUAGAAAAAUUGAUUGUGUCAACUGAUAGUGAAAUCACACCUCUAAAAUCUUCAACAUCGAAACGACCAUUGUCCCAUAGUUCAUCAGAAGAUAACAAACAGAUGAAAAAGAGACAAUCAGGGGUAAAGGAUGAUUUUAUCAAAAAACUUGUUCAUAAAAUAAUUGAAAAUACGAAAGAUAAGCAAAUAGAAGAAGGAAAAGUACAAAAUGGUCCUAAUAUUUUGAAAUCGAAGUGUGGAAUAUGUUCACUUUUUUCCAAUGUCCCACCAGAAAUCAUUAAUUUCAUGGAGAAACUGACGAAUUUAUUAAAGAUCCAUCAAGAAAAGGAAACCUUUAUCCAAAAUAAUCACUGCGAUGUACACGAGAAAGAGAAAAAGUUAGUAGAUCCAGAGAACAUUCUAUCAUGGAAAAUAUACAGCGCUGACAAAAUUAAAUUAACCAAAAAUCAGGAGUAUGGAUCCGAGGAGCAGAUCUAAAAUUUAUAAGCAAUAUGACAGAAAAAAAUUGGAAAGAAAUGGCUCGACGACUUUGAAAACAUUAUAUUGGAGAGAAACCACUAUCGCAACUGUAUGCUGUAGGAGGUAAGAAUCGCAAAAGGAAUAGAUCCAACUCUCAGGAAAGCAGUAAAAGAGUAUGUCUCGACGAAAACCAACUUACGUUUUUCGACCGGAGAAUAUCAUCGAGUCAUCAACCUUAUGUGUUCUACUCUACGAGGAAAAGUGGGAAAUAAUGAUUUCGCAGCGGAUCUGAACCAAGAAUGAAGUGAUCGAAAAAAAUGAGAAAAAAAACCUGCGCACAAAAAAGCGAAGAAAUCAUCAAAAAUAAUCCAUGAAAUAAGUUCAUCAGAGGAAUCAUGCAGUGAAGCAGAAGAAGAAAAUUUGAGAUUGCAGUCAGAAUGCAAAUCAAAGAAAAUUAUCAUCACGCAAGACAUAGAACCAGAUAAAAAAGUAAUCAAAUAGAAAGGAAAAAAACAGGUGAACUAAAUUGCAAUAAUAUAAAACCGUCAAAAGAAAUGAAGAGGACGGAUUCAUCCCAAAAAUCAUCAAAUGACACAAGUGAUCACGAACAUGUUCUUCUUCAUUAUGACUCAACCGUUGAGAACGAAGAUUCUUUGCUUCCGAAAAAAACAACUUAAAUCAUGGAUCGUCCAGAAUCAUCAUCAGUGACUUUGUAACCACAGUAGCAACCAGGAACCUCCUCACAUUUGUAUAAUUCUCAAAACAAUAUGUAUUACACAGCCCUGAAUCAAAACUUUAAUAACCCUUGGUAUCCCACUGCUCCAUAUAACCCUUAUUCAUUUAAUUAUAAUCACGAAAAUAGUUUUAAU